UGUGGGGCGGGCCCGAGGGCGCGUUCGUCUCAGAGACACCCCCCUCUCUGGCCCACCACGUGCUCUCCGCUGGCCUGUGGAGCAAACCUCCCCUUGCCUCCCCAGCCGCCCUGCCCGAGUGCGAGCGCUUUAAGGCAAGGCCCUCUAGAAGCAUUACAGAAAAAUCUUCACUUACACCAGAUCCAGGAAGUUGUCUGGAUUCUCUUCAGUUCCUCACUGUGUUAUCUAGAGAGACUAAUGACCACUCAAGUUUCACAGAGAGGGUCUCUGACUUAGUCACUGGUGACUGGAGCGGAAGUUGUUCUGGUGUGGAAAGAGUUGGAGCGCCUGGCUGAUCCAACCUGAAAGACCAAUCCUCUAAAGCUCCUGGAGCAGCAUAGUCAAAGGAAGAGGAGCAGGAAGCUGGGAGAAAUGGCUCAUCUUCUCCAUCCUGUGCCUUUGUUGCCUUUUGAUGCUGAUGAAAUCCCAGCAGCCUUUGGAGGGAGUAUAACACAAUGUGCAAACAUCACAGACAUUCACCAAAAAUCACAUCCCAAGACUUAAAACAAAAUACAAGAAGAAAAAAGCAAUUUCUCCCAAUUCAACUCCCCAAGGACCCAAAAAGCAUUUCAAACGUGUCCAGUAAGACAUUAAAAAUAAUCAUCCUGGACAGAAGUCAGUCCCUUGGUUGUUUUAAUGUACUUUUGUCGACAAACAAGGACAGUUUUCAAAACCACUGCCUUGGCUGACUUUGGAAGGUCUCUAGAAUAAAAGUACUUGGGUGACCCUAGGAUGACUGGGCAAGAGUAACCAAAGCUGUGGAUGAAACUGAAAAAGAUAAAAAAGAAAAACGAAAAAAAGAACUGAUGAUGUUUGAUGUAAAAACUAAAAUAUUGCCACAAUCAAGACAUAUUUCUAAGCUGAAACUUAUGAACAGAAACAACCCUAGUGGGAAAUUUAACAAUCCUCUUUAAAAGAGCGUUCAGAUUUUUCAAAGUAUGUAUAAACUCACUCCUAUGCUUCCCAAAUGGCUUGCUGUGGGGUGGCUGCUCCGUGGAAUCAGGAAGUGUUUUUCCUCUUCCUCUGUCCUCCUUCCCUCCUCCUCCUGCCUUCUUUUUACAGCGAUAUGCGCUCUUAUUAGCUAUUCUUUACUGCAUCCUCGAGGCUCUCCUCCAUUCUCUUUACUUCUCACAACUGCCAUUUCAAGAAGGGGUCGUUACACCGCAUCCUUAACAAGGAAGCCUAAGCUGGGAGACUGGGAGGGCCACCCUUCUCCAUCCAAAAUACAGUGUGGGCACAGCAGCAGCUGUAGGGUUGGACAGAACCUUCAGGACUCAGAAUCCAAAAGGGAGGAAGUGGAGAUGACUGAGGGUCCGAGACGCAUGCGCAUUCGCAUCAGCCUCUGGUGUCAUUCAUGCAACUGUGAUCCAGUCAGAUCACAGCAAGAUCCACAGGCCAGAGUGGAAUCCAAAUGCUUUGUCACAGAAUGUUUCCUCCACACAGUUAGCGCUGAAGUCUGGCACCACACUCCCUAUUCAGACCAAGUCCUAGCAUUCCCCAUUUUGCUUCCUUAAAAUGGAUUUUUUUGUUAUCAUGUUGUUAAUUACAAUAAAGAACAAUGCCAAUGCACUGUGUGGGAAUUACAAAAA